CUUUACAUCAGAAACCAGGGAUGUACUGUACGGUGACUAACAUAAUACGAUUAAAAAAACAUUAAGAAAAAUUUGUCAGCAAGAAACAUAGUUUGGGAUGAUGGCUGACUUUGUCUAGUGUCUCAUGAUGCAGUCUAAACACAGUAGUUAAGAACAAUUAAAUUAAAUAGAUAUAAGUAUAAAAGGUUUUUAGGUGAACUUUUAACAAUAAGUAUGUUUUAUGGUAUGUGUACUUAAAAAUGAUUUUCUGAAAUCUUUCAGGUAAGCUGAAGCUUUAAACUUUUGCUAAAUGAUGAAUUAAGUUAAAUUCACUGAAUAUCCAGACCAUUUCUAAAUAAGAUAAAACACCAAACAUAGGUUUAUACACUUUUAACUGCUGAACAAAGAUUUAUACACUAUUACUUCCUUUUACAGAAGAACUAAAAGGCAUUUGGGUCAUGAGUAAGCAUUUGUCUCUAGAAAUUAUUAAAUGUAUUCGUAAGUUUGCCAUUCCAAACAAUGCUGGUAUGACACAGUUCACUACUGCUUACUUCUUAGUCAAGGGUUCUCAGGGUUAAUUCUAAUUAAUAUAUGUAACUAAAAUUACUGAAAUAAGAGAAACAACUCUGUAUGCAAGGAAAGUAAGAUGUGUUUUUGGUAAGAAGAGGUAUGAGGUAUGAAGAGGCAUUUGUGUUAAGGGAAAAAAAGGCAAAGUAAAUUUGUUCCAAGUAAAACUGGUUAUUUCCAGAUGGGAAAGAGGAAGAUAAAGACAGAUUAAAUGGAAAGCUAGAAAUAGAGAGAGAGAAAAUCUUACCUGGCGUGGUUGACUAAAACUGAAUGAAUUUAACAGUUAUAAAAUGAAGCUUUAAAAUCAGUAGUGUACUUAUACGAAACCAAAAUUGAAUGUUCUUUCACCUGCUGAAAGGACAGUUUUUUGGGACUGGCCUGCUCCUGAUAAGACUGUGAAAGGCUUUUUGUCACCUUCUAAGUAACCAGUCUUCAAAAAGCAGAUUGUGUUUUAUCAAAAUAAUUUCCGUGUUUUAUCAGGUCUUUGAUCCGCUUUGCUCACAACUACAUAACGUUCUGUAUUUGCCCUUAAAAUCCUUUGUCACUUUGGUUAAACAGUGUUCCUGCAAAAGCAGUUCCCUUCAAGGAGAUUCAAGAAAAGGACUUUUAACAAGUGGACUUGUCAAAAACUUGUCAGAAACCGGGAGGUUUCUGAUAACCUUAAAGACCAUCAAACUGGGCUAGGACACAACUGCAAACACUGGUUAUAUUACCAAGGCUUUGACUGGAACGUCAUAUUUGAGAAGGAUAUGUGUAAACUCAGAUAUGACCAGACAGCUUGAAGGAACUAAGGGUGACUUUAUGAAGCCAAUGAAGUCCCUUGUAAAAAUCAGCCUGGUACCUUGCUUGCAGGAUUCCCAGCGUCCUUACAAGGUGAGUAAACAAGUUUGUUUCCUAGCAGGCACAGGAACACAUAAUAUUUUGGGGAUCUCAAGAAGAAAGGAUUCACCCAAAUCUAAAGGCAUUGCAGGUUAAGUCUGAUGGCCUGGACUUGACUUUCUAGCUUCAAGAGGUUUUUAAAAACUUCAAUCUGAGAUUCCUUAAGAAAAG